CAUGGCUCAGAACGAACGCUGGCGGCAUGGAUUAGGCAUGCAAGUCGAACGAAGCAGCAAUGCUUAGUGGCGCAAGGGUGAGGAACACGUGAGUGACCUACCCGCAAGUUUGGAACAGCUCCUGGAAACGGGAAUUAAUACCGGAUGUGAUCAUAUUACUGCAUGGUGAUAUGAUUAAAGCAGCGAUGCGCUUGCGGAUGGGCUCGCGUCCAUUAGCUAGUUGGUGAGGUAACGGCCCACCAAGGCCAUGAUGGGUAGCUGGUCUGAGAGGACGACCAGCCACACUGGGACUGAGAACUGCCCAGACUCCUACGGGAGGCUGCAGUCGAGAAUUUUGGGCAAUGGACGAAAGUCUGACCCAAGCAAUGCCGCGUGCGGGAUGAAGGUCUUCGGAUUGUAAACCGCUGUUUGGAGGGACGAAAAUUGACGGUACUUCCAGAGGAAGCCACGGCUAACUACGUGCCAGCAGCUGC
rnacentral:rRNA from 1 species